UGAUCUUGUUGUGUGAGGCUUGUCUUAUGGGACUGGGGGCCACCUGCAGGAAAGGGAAGGUAUUAAAACAUCAAAAUAAGACUUUAAUAAGACCAUUCAUCGAUUAGGCUGAUAAAUGAGGCUGAUUAGAAAAAUUAACAAAUGUUCACAAGCUUUACAGGCAGCAGCUAAUCUGACAGGGAGAUCAAAAUUCCCAUUAAAUAAAAACAUUUUUAAUGAUGGUGGAUCAAAUUUUACAGCUACUGACGAAUGUUUGAUAUGUAUUCUGUUGUGUGGUAUAGAAUAAUGGCGUUUAAUGUUUCCUUAGGCGAAGAGAUGUCCUGUUUGGGUGCAACCUGCAGCAUGGCCCCUCAGCACAUUUUUCUUUAGUUUCAUAUUUAAUUUAAAAUCUUUCUCAAAUCUGUUUCUAGAUAAGACAACCAUGUGUAUAAGAUUACAAUGUACAUGGAAUAAUGGCUCUUAUUAUGAUUGAACUGUUUAUGAAAUGCAAAAAAAACAACAACAAUGUGAUAUCUGCAUUAUAUAUCAGCCAUCGGCAAACCGUCUUUUUAAAUAUCAGCACCGAUAUCAGCUGAUAAAAAACACUGACUAGUCAACCUCUUUUAAAAUAUUUUGGGAUUAUUCUGACGUGUAACACGUGUGCGACAAUCUGAGUAGUAACUUUAAUUUCCAUUUUAUCUUGUUGCAAUUUGUGUGUGCAUAUUUUAUUUUCAGUGGGUUUCAUUGCUGUUGUUUCAUUGUUUCUUUCCCCACAUUGUCGCCAGGGGUCAAAUAAUUUCUGAGCCAUUUCCCCGCCUUUGUAAAAUCCUUUGAAUAGCCUCUGUGUUUGAAUUGUCCAACAUAAAUAAAGAUUACUCGCCUCUCCUAGCCUGGUCUAUUAGCAGAAAAUUAGAAAUGGAUUCAGCCAGUCUUCUGUAGGGUAUUUCAACCUGACCUAGAGACAACAAGUAAUAACACAAACCAGCGAGAAAAAGCGGGGGAAAGUCCGUCUAAUUAUAAAAAUGAAAUUGCUUAUUUAUACAGAGUUUGCACAAGGGUUUCCACAAUGCUCCUCAUCAUUGUUGCUAGACAUUGCAUGUUAUAUGUUGGGCUGAAAGAAUAAGAUGAAAAAUGCAAAUAACUGUAUGUUGCAGGAGCACAGUUUGUUCAUUUGCAUUUGCGGUGACACGUCUCAGUGGGAGGAAAUCAACAUAUACUGAUGUUUAUAGAAAACGAGGGAGAGAAACAUGGGGCAUUUAGCACCGGGACAAAACAGGCCUGAUUUAUGGGUACAACAACAUCGUAAUAAUCGACCCUGAUUAUGAUGACUUGAGCUAAACAGAUUCAUAGCAGAGAACAUUUCCUCUCUAUGUUCUACUCGCAGUUGUGACAGAGGAGAAGGAUUUGAAAUUCCCAUUAAAAAGAUUCAGAGACACCCCAGCUCUGCCCUGCCACUCCUGACAACCUGCUGCUGUGUGGCUGUGACAGGUCCCUGUAAAUUCAGGCUCAGCCCCCCAGGGUCCCACAUAUCUGAGCUGCUCUGAAAGAAGCCACGUCCAAACCACGGGGCUUUUCUGCAGCCACAGGCCCCUUUCUUGAUGCGGGGAGAGAAAUCCUCAAAAAGCAAGCAGCCCACAGCAGCUGUCGUGUAUUUCAGCCUGCUUCAGAUAUCAGUGGUGGUUUGUGAGCUUUUCUUUAGCCGUGCUUUAAACAGGAGUGAUGAGGCAUUACAAAAGGCUCUUUGUUCUAUCCAAGAAGACAGAAAAGAAGUCAGCAGUCCUGCCCACUCCAUCACAACACUUCACUUUGUUCAGCCUCUGUUCAGCUCAUGGCACACCAGGCAACACUGAGGAGCAUGAGAGGUGGGCUUUAAAUCAAUUCAGUGUUUAUUUAGAUUUACUUAACUUACAUAAGAGACAGUUAUUUUAUUAUUUCAUGAAGAAUGUGGCAGCUUUAUGGAAAAAAAAAGUUUUUUAUUUGUUAGUUUUGCCAUUAAAACUGUAUUUUCUUACAUAGCUGUAGUUUGCUCGCUGUCUACAUCCUGUGUGACAGUUAUUUAAGUUUACAUACUGCCUACAUCUACACAUUUUGUGUUGACUUUUGGAAACUAAAAAGCAAAAUUGGACACAGAACAUCUUUCAACUUUUAAUAUUUUACUUAUUUAGUCAAUCUUUUUCAUAUUUUUAAUCCUCAGACACUGCUCUUUACAGAAAAAAUAUGCUGUGACGAAAUAUAAUUAACUGUUUUAAGAAAAAAUAUUCAUUUAUUCUAAACUUAAUGCCAGUCAGGAACAGAACAAACAAUCUGUAAGAGAUUCGCAACAUGACUUGUUAUAAAGGUCGUUCUGGAGAGGCUGAGUCUCUCUGGAGUAAAAUAGGAGGAGGAUCACCACUCUGUGAGAAAACGUCAAGACUCCAAGCUCCGCCCCUCUUUGCCCUGCUCCGCAGGCCAAGUAGUGAUGACAAUGACAGAACAACUGUGUGCAGUAGCGGAUUGCAGUGCUUGUAAGAAAGCCAGUUAUGAUAUUAGUCUUCAUCAUGCCCCCCAAGACAUUAGUGUCCGAGAGCUGAAUAGCUCCUAUGUUACCUGUCACUUUAGCUGCACUGGCAAUGUUAGGCUACAAGCUAGCGUGGAGCUCUGCAGAAGAAAAGCCCUUAAAAUGACGCAGACAAUGUGAUUUUAGCAUUAUCACAAUUUAAAGACCACUGAUAACACACAAAAAACCUUUAAAGGCAUAAGGAAUCCUGAAAAUCUCUGUGUAAAAUAAACAAGAUAUAAAACCAACACUGGGUAGGUCUGAUCUUUAGACCAUCUUCACCGGUCUCGCAAUCUGAUCUGAUCUGAUCUAAUCAUCUUGUCAACAAUUCAGUUUGAUUUAAUAUCACACUGCAUUUUGUAUCCAUAGGUUUUCUAUGCUACUGCUUUUAGUGCAAGCUGUUGGAUAAACCUGAACUUCUUUUAUUUGUAGGAAAUAUAUUAAAAUCAAAUAAUGUCUACAGAAAUGUUUAACAUUGUAAUACACACCUAUACCAGAUAGUGUGGGAGGUUACAAGGAGCUAGCUAGACCUUCAUUAUAAAAAGACUACAAGAAAUAUGGGAUAGACUAGCCAUCUACACUGCUUCUAUUUUUAUAUAAACUAUGCACAUUAUGGUCAUUGCUUGUUGUGGCUAGCAAAGCAGACUAAAUAUGUCAAAUAUUUGCAAUAAUACGUUUUAAGGUUGCUCUCUGCAGCUCAAUAUAAACCCCCAAGUUUAUUAUCUACAUUAUUUUGUUCUUUUUCUCCCCUGUGUGUCCUUUCCAUUUCCUCCUAACUGUAUACAUUACAAACACGGAAGAUAAUCAGAGUAUUAAAGGGACGUGAUAACGGUGAUAUUGUGUUUGUGUCUGUUACAGGGAGCUGGGGGGAAAAGCAAGCGAGUAAGAAAGCACAUCACACCACCACUCCGAAAAAAAACACAAAAAGUGCUGAGGACCAUAAAAAGCUGCAUCUGGUCUGCAGUCCACCAGCUGAAGAGCCUCCUUUAUGUCCCAAUCACUAAAAAAAAAACUGUUUGUAGG
rnacentral:lncRNA from 1 species